rnacentral:rRNA from 1 species
GUCCACGCCCUAAACGAUGUCAACUAGGUGUUGGGUGGGUAAAACCAUUUAGUACCGGAGCUAACGCGUGAAGUUGACCGCCUGGGGAGUACGGCCGCAAGGUUAAAACUCAAAGGAAUUGACGGGGACCCGCACAAGCGGUGGAUGAUGUGGAUUAAUUCGAUGCAACGCGAAAAACCUUACCUACCCUUGACAUGUUCAGAAUCCCUGAGAGAUUGGGGAGUGCCCGAAAGGGAGCUGGAACACAGGUGCUGCAUGGCUGUCGU